AACCUCCGCAAUGUGAGAAAUCGCGACGGGGGGAUCCCAAGUGCCAUUCUUAACGGGAUGGCUUUUCAUUAGUGUAAGGAGCUUUUGGAAUAAGGGCUGGGCAAGACCGGUGCCAGCCGCCGCGGUAACACCGGCAGCUCUAGUGGUAGCAGUUUUUAUUGGGCCUAAAGCGUCCGUAGCCGGUUUAAUAAGUCUCUGGUGAAAUCCUGUAGCUUAACUGUGGGAAUUGCUGGAGAUACUAUUAGACUUGAGACCGGGAGAGGUUAGAGGUACUCCCAGGGUAAAGGUGAAAUUCUGUAAUCCUGGGAGGACCGCCUGUUGCGAAGGCGUCUAACUGGAACGGUUCUGACGGUGAGGGACGAAAGUUAGGGGCGCGAACCGGAUUAGAUACCCGGGUAGUCCUAACCGUAAACGAUGCGGACUUGGUGUUGGGGUGGCUUUGAGCUGCUCCAGUGCCGAAGGGAAGCUGUUAAGUCCGCCGCCUGGGAAGUACGGUCGCAAGACUGAAACUUAAAGGAAUU
rnacentral:rRNA from 1 species